CCCGCCACUGUACCUGCUUUGAGUUCAUCUGUGGCUAGUACAGUCCAGUGGUGAGCUAAGAGGAACCCCCCAUUCAAGGAAACAGGGUUGCUCUCUCUGUGGGUAACUCUGUGCCGAAGAUUGGGAACAAAA